GCUGCCGCACCAACGGCAGCUGGGUUUAGCAGCCUAUUCUUACCGUAUGGCCGGACGGCCGCCUCGUGCGGCUUUUUU
rnacentral:sRNA from 1 species